UCUUCGGGAUAGGUAGUAGUUAAGGUGAUGGCUUAACUAGCCCACAACUUCCGUAGUCGAAUCUGAAAGGUUGAUCGACCACAUUGGGUCUGAAAAAACCCCAAUGCAAGUUAGUACAGCAGUGAGGAAUCUUGGUCAAUGGCCUAACGGCUGAACUGGCAACUUGGAAAAGUGGCAAGUCUUGUUUUGAUUAUAUUACUAUGUAUAAUCUAUAAGAUUGUAUUAAAAUUGAAUAAAGCUUUGUUUAUAUAUUGAUAAUGACAGUAUAUAUAUCGUGUCUUGACUAAUUACGUGCCAGCAGUCGCGGUAAUACGUAAGAGACUAGUGUUAUUCAUCUUAAUUAGGUUUAAAGGGUACCUAGGCGGUCAAUAUAGCUUCUAUAAUGUUAGUACUUGACUAGAGUUUGAUAUAAGAGGGCAGUACUUGAGGAGGAGAGAUGAAAUUUCGUUAUACCAAAGGGACUCGGUAAAGGCGAAGGCAGCCCUUUAUGUAAAAACUGACGUUGAGGGACGAAGGCACAGAGCACAAACAGGAUUAGGUACCCCAGUAGUCUUUGCAGUAAAUGAUGAAUGCCAUAGGUUUAGAUUAA
rnacentral:rRNA from 1 species